CCUACGGGAGGCAGCAGUGAGGAAUAUUGGUCAAUGGACGAGAGUCUGAACCAGCCAAGUAGCGUGAAGGAUGACUGCCCUAUGGGUUGUAAACUUCUUUUAUAUGGGAAUAAAAUGUUCCACGUGUGGGAUUUUGUAUGUACCAUAUGAAUAAGGAUCGGCUAACUCCGUGCCAGCAGCCGCGGUAAUACGGAGGAUCCGAGCGUUAUCCGGAUUUAUUGGGUUUAAAGGGAGCGUGGGGGGAUUGUUAAGUCAGUUGUGAAAGUUUGCGGCUCAACCGUAAAAUUGCAGUUGAAACUGGCAGUCUUGAGUACAGUAGAGGUGAGCGGAAUUCGUGGUGUAGCGGUGAAAUGCUUAGAUAUCACGAAGAACUCCGAUUGCGAAGGCAGUUCACUGGACUGCAACUGACACUGAGGCUCGAAAGUGUGGGUAUCAAACAGGAUUAGAUACCCGAGUAGUC
rnacentral:rRNA from 1 species